UCUUUUUUCCCCAAAUAAAGUCUUUCUAAGCGGGCAGACAGGCUAGGGCAGAACUACCUGGGCUGAGAUUGGGGGAGAGCACCUACAAUUUUUUCUGGUCAUCUUCCCUUUCCACCUUCUUUUUCAUGACCCCCUCCCCUUAACUCGGAUGACACCAUAGAAUCCUGUUGCUCUAAGGAACACAGCUGAGAUACCACUGGUCUAAAGGUCAGCAUAACUGAAAGGAGUGCACGAUGCUCUGAUUCCCACUCAAAGACCCUGACAGCUGUGGACGAGCCUGGAGACUCCCCUGCACCUCAGUUCUGUCCUCUGGCACUCUCAAGCCCUGUCUCACAAGAUGUGUGUCUCUGUGUCCCGGGAGACUGAAAACUCCGAGAGGUCAAAGAUCACACUUGUUUUGUGCACACCUUGUCUCUAGUACCCGGCACAAUGCUUUCUACACAAAACCUAAAGCUGCAUCAGAGUGCUUUUUAAGAUGAUACUUCAGACACCCACCAACAAUCAAUAAGAGACAGCAUGAGAGGCAAGACCUAUUUAUUAUCCCUUUUGUGCCCUUUUUUUGUGCCUUUCAUAAGCAAUACUGUAUACCAGGAAAGAAGAACCUUCUCAGAGAGAGAGAGACAACAAACUUUUUAACUUCUUCAAAAUCUGCCACAGAAGACAAAGUCAUCCCCAUGGGAUUAUCACAGGGCCAUGAGCCACCGGCCAUACUAAGACAUGGAUUCUUAGAAUCCUUCCAAAAACAGCAAAAGGAAAAUCGCAAAACCCCAAGUCUGGCCUGCCUUGUGGCACCGUGUUGGCAAUUAGCAUGAUAUUAAAAGUGUCCUGAUGCUCUUCUGGGUACAAAAGCUCAGCUUUGCUUCAUGGUACCAAGUAGUUCUGAGGCUCAGAUGUGUAUUUUUCUGUCUCUAAGUUGAAGCAGUAAGAAAAAGAAAGCAAGCUGGUAGCAGAGAUUAGGGCGGAAGCUAGGGUACGUGGAGCGAGUCCAGGGAGGGGCUGAGGACGGCAGUAAUACUAACAAUAAAAACGUACCCCUGUUUUCUAUCUGCCACGCCUUCUGCUUAGGUGAACGUUGUGGGUUUUCUCAUUGCCUCCACACAAGCAACCCUCUGUCACAGGUACUAUUUUUCUGCCUCCUCCAGAUGAAAAGCCUUGAGGCUCAGGGAAACGGGACAUGACUUGCUUCUGGUCCCGCAAUUCACAAGCCAGGAAGCUAUGGGAUGUGAACCCAGAUACGUCUGCUUCAAGAUACCGUAUUCUUGAAACUGUGUGAUCCAGACCAGCAGAGCCACUCUUUCAGCAUGGAGAGACGGUGACCUGGAGUUUGAAGCACAUCUUAGGGCAAAGAUUUCUUCAUCUUUGUGUUUUCCUAUUGCAGAGCACAAUGGCUGGCACACAAUCCGUUCACAUUUGGUUGAAUUGAUAUUUGGUACAACUGAGGCUUUCAAAUUUAGCAGUGAAUUCUGUUAGCAGAACAUUGUUGCUUCUUCUAAAUCUUCUGUUGCUUGCGUCCUGGAGCUGUGAUGGGUAUUGUCGCAGUGGCCCUGUCGUUUGUACGAUUGGCUCAUGUGUUCCACAUGUAUUUAUUUGCACUUACUGUGUGUUAGGCACUAUAUAGCUGGACAGCAGUGAACAAGA